rnacentral:antisense_RNA from 1 species
CUUGAUCGAACCGAGCAGCAAAGGCGACGUGCGGUCCUGACCAUAGGUGGCCAGCAAAGCCUGUGCCUC